CACAACCAAACCGAACUGGCCAUUGAGAGAGCUUUAGAGAGAGAGGCUUCUCCUUCUCUCCUUCCCACCACCCUCUUCUGAGCAGCAGGUGGCUGUGCCGCCACCUUUCGAGGCGGCACCUCUGCCACCUCUGGUGUGACUUUUCUUUCUCUUUUUUUCUGUUUGUUUUCUUUCUCUUUUUUUCUAUUUGUUUUGGUUUGCCCUACCUCUUUUGAUUUUCUAGAUGUAGGCCUAGAUCUCCUCCACAUCUCCUCCACCACUACUCUUCAACCAUUACACCUCUUUUACCCUAUUUUUCUCUCAUACACUCACCCCCCCUCCCCAUCGGUCCAUUUCCCUCCCCCUUCCACAAAAACUCAAACCCUAAAAUCCUCCUCUUUUCCUAGAAUUUUCAUGGUUGUCUACGGGUUUGAUGCUGUUGUUUCUCCCCUACAACCCAUCCUCAGAUCUAAGAUCUUGAUAUGGAGAUCAGGUGGCGGCGACUGCUUGUUGUUUCUAAGGUUUGAUUCUAGGGUUUGUGUUUUGGGCGUAAAUUAUUUUUAUUUUGGAUUGGGCUUUAAUUUUGUUUGGUUGAGCCAUUGUUUUUUAUUUUCUGACUUUUGUAUUAAGCUUUUAUGUAACUCUCUAUGGUAAUAACAUGUUCAUUCCCUUGACCCAAAAAAAUAACACGACGCAGAGGUUUAGGAUCUCAA